rnacentral:rRNA from 1 species
CCUACGGGUGGCAGCAGUGGGGGAUAUUGGACAAUGGGGGGAACCCUGAUCCAGCGACGCCGCGUGAGUGAAGAAGUAUUUCGGUAUGUAAAGCUCUUUUAGCAGGGAAGAAAGAAAUGACGGUACCUGACCAAGAAGCCCCGGCUAACUACGUGCCAGCAGCCGCGGUAAUACGUAGGGGGCAAGCGUUAUCCGGAAUUACUGGGUGUAAAGGGAGCGUAGGCGGUUAUGUAAGUCAGGAGUGAAAUGCCGGGGCCCAACCCCGGGCCUGCUUUGGAAACUGUUGUACUUGAGUGCAGGAGAGGUAAGCGGAAUUCCUGGUGUAGCGGUGAAAUGCGUAGAUAUAAGGAGGAACACCAGUGGCGAAGGCGGCUUGCUGGACUGUAACUGACGUUGAGGCGCGAAAGCGUGGGGAGCAAACAGGAUUAGAUACCCUAGUAGUC